UAUUCGUGAUUUUCUACUCGAGAAAGAGAUUGAACCGACAAUUGUCAGUUAACAAAAACCUUUUCAGGGAGACCAAAACACUUGUUAAUCCGGUCAACAAGUGAAGAUAGGUGGUGGAAACUGAGAUCAGAUGGUACAUUAGUGAAGCCGCCUGGCACUAUAACCAAAGCAACGUGUUCCAUAAAGAGCGAGAGGAAUCAGAAGAAGAGAGAAGUUUCAGUUUCUUAAAAGUCUGACUGAAUCGAUUAAGAUUUCAACAAAUUUUUGGUUUCGUGUUUAUAAGAUUCUGAUUCAGGAUUGAAUUCUUGAUGUUUUUAUACGAGUUGAAGUGAAGAAGGAGAAGAGGAAGCGGAAGUGGAAGUGGAAGUACUGUUAAGACUGGCAGGGUUAAGAUUAUUAGGGAUAAAAUUAGGAUUAACUAGAAGAAGAAAAAUAAGAGUUAGAAUAAGAAGAGUAAGAGAUAAAUUAAUGGAUUUAUGGGAUAAAGUGAUCUUUCCUGUUCGUAGAGUUUGGAUUGCUUUUUCUGCUCGUGUUAAAGCUCGAAAAAAUGUUUAAACAGGUGGAGGACUGUUGAAACUACACAAUGAUGUACAAACUUGCGAGUAUCAAGAUGUGCAAGUAAUGUGGGAAAUGUUAAGAAGAUCAGAAUCAGAACUAAUGAAUAUUUCUGGUCAUCAAUCGCAUAAACCUACCAAGCGUAAGCUACCACGUCCUUUUUGGAGAGUCCAUGUCUGGUCAUCAUCAUCUCAUAAAAACAUAUAAUAUCAAUGUCUCUCUAAACUCUUUCUCCCUGGAAUAAAAUACAAAUAAGAAAAGUGGGUACAAGCUUUCUUCCAAAUGUUUUUCCCAUAAGAAAGAAAAGAAUGCACAUUUUCUAGUGUUUGAUGAUGAUGAAUCAUUUUGAUCAUGGGAUAUGAUGAAUUCAAUUCUGUGAUCGCAUAAACUAUGUAUGUAUAGUAGUUGCAGUAGUGGAGUGGUAGGUACGAGUUAUGUAUGUAUUUCUGUAUGUAAUAUGGGGGGGACCAUGCAGCUGCUGGUAGUGGAGGUUAACCCAUCCUGAUUCUCAUCCUUUGCAGACAAGAAGUAGGAAGAAAGAAGAGACUCAAAAGAGAGUGAUGCAGAGAGGUGUUUCUAAUGAUGCCCUUUACAUUCAAUGAGUAAUGAAAUAAAGAAGAAAAGGAAAAAAAAUCAACUUUUUGUUUAAGCA